rnacentral:rRNA from 1 species
GACAGAGGGUGCAAACGUUUCUCGGAAUCACUGGGCAUAAAGCGCACGUAGGCGGCCGCGUAAGUGCGGUGUGAAAGCCCCCGGCCCAACCGGGGAAUCGCACCGCAUACUGCGCGGCUAGAGCUUGGGAGGGGAGAGUGGAACUCCUGGUGGAGCGGCGGAAUGCGUAGAUAUCAGGAGGAACGCCGGAGGUGAAGACGACUCUCUGGCCCAAUGCUGACGCUAAGGUGCGAAAGCUAGGGGAGCAAACGGG